CCAAACGACUCCAUAGGGAGGGAAACCUGCAUUCUGACAAACAGUCAAUGCACAACAAUUCUUUCGAUAACAGGUUUAAUGGCCUUUGUUAAAAAGGUUGGGUUCCCAGCUUUCCAUUCCUACUUGUAUUUAUUUUUUAUCAACUCCAUAAAUAUGUGCGAACUUUACUAUUUCAAGCCUGGAGUUUUUAGCAGCGGCAUAGCGAAGCACGUUACCGCUCAGCGGUUCAAUUAGCUUUGAACGUGUCGGGCUAAAUGUAACACGGGUCGAAUCUAAUCUUAGUUGUCGAAUUACAACAGGUGUAGACUUCACCGUAAAAUGCAUCCAAUUACAACAGGUGUAGACUGUAAAAUGCAUCCAAUUACAACAGGUGUAGACCGUAAAAUGCAUCCAAUUACAACAGGUGUAGACCGUAAAAUGCAUCCAAUUACAACAGGUGUAGACCGUAAAAUGCAUCCAAUUACAACAGGUGUAGACCGUAAAAUGCAUCCAAUUACAACAGGUGUAGACCGUAAAAUGCAUCCAAUUACAACAGGUGUAGACCGUAAAAUGCAUCCAAUUACAACAGGUGUAGACCGUAAAAUGCAUCCAAUUACAACAGGUGUAGACUGUAAAAUGCAUCCAAUUACAACAGGUGUAGACUGUAAAAUGCAUUCAAUUACAACAGGUGUAGACCGUAAAAUGCUAUGUUAUGAGUUAUGAGCUUUUUCCCGACAAUGCAGAGUUAAAAAGUAUAAAUGUUUGUAUUAAAGACUGGCUAAAUAUAUAUAUAUAUAUAUAUAUUUUAAAGGAGUAAAACGAUAAAAUAAGGCUAUAUACAAGGAUUUCCGGUACCGAGUCGAUAUGCAGCUUUACGAGAUAGUUGAGGUAAUAUGUAGGUAGGGGUAAAGUGACUAGGCAAUGAGGACAGAUAAUAAACUGGUCAACGUAAAUAGUCCGGCUAGCUAUUUGAUGAUCUGGAUCGAUGUGCACGACAGUGUGUUCCAGUCCCCACCAAUAUCCAGCAACGUCGCACAGCCAUUGAAGAGGAGUGGGACAACAUUCCACAGGCCACAAUCAACAGCCUGAUCAACUCUGUGUGAAAGAGAUGGUGGGCACACCGGAUACUGACUGGUUGUCUGAUCCACGCCUCUGUGACCUAUCUGUAUUGUCAGUUGUGUGAAAUCCAUAGAUUAGGGUCUAAGUCAUUCAUUUCAAUUGACUGAUUUUCCUUAUAGAAACUGCAACUCAAGUUAAAAUAUUUUCAAAUUGUCGCAUUUAUAUUUUUGUUCUCUAUAAUUUACUUACUACAAUUCUGUUACCGGGUGUAAAUCCACUUC